rnacentral:rRNA from 1 species
ACACAUGCAAGUCGAGGGGCAGCAUCAUCAAAGCUUGCUUUGAUGGAUGGCGACCGGCGCACGGGUGAGUAACACGUACCCAACCUGCCGACAACUCUGGAAUAGCCUUUCGAAAGAAAGAUUAAUACCGGAUGGCAUAGUUUUCCCGCAUGGGAUAAUUAUUAAAGAAUUUCGGUUGUCGAUGGGGAUGCGUUCCAUUAGGCAGUUGGCGGGGUAACGGCCCACCAAACCAACGAUGGAUAGGGGUUCUGAGAGGAAGGUCCCCCACAUUGGAACUGAGACACGGUCCAAACUCCUACGGGAGGCAGCAGUGAGGAAUAUUGGUCAAUGGACGAGAGUCUGAACCAGCCAAGUAGCGUGAAGGAUGACUGCCCUAUGGGUUGUAAACUUCUUUUAUACGGGAAUAAAGUUAGCCACGUGUGGCUUUUUGUAUGUACCGUAUGAAUAAGGAUCGGCUAACUCCGUGCCAGCAGCCGCGGUAAUACGGAGGAUCCGAGCGUUAUCCGGAUUUAUUGGGUUUAAAGGGAGCGUAGGCGGGUUGUUAAGUCAGUUGUGAAAGUUUGCGGCUCAACCGUAAAAUUGCAGUUGAUACUGGCGACCUUGAGUGCAACAGAGGUAGGCGGAAUUCGUGGUGUAGCGGUGAAAUGCUUAGAUAUCACGAAGAACUCCGAUUGCGAAGGCAGCUUACUGGAUUGUAACUGACGCUGAUGCUCGAAAGUGUGGGUAUCAAACAGGAUUAGAUACCCUGGUAGUCCACACAGUAAACGAUGAAUACUCGCUGUUGGCGAUAUACAGUCAGCGGCCAAGCGAAAGCAUUAAGUAUUCCACCUGGGGAGUACGCCGGCA